rnacentral:rRNA from 1 species
CAAGCUUUGUCCGGAAUUAUUGGGCGUAAAGAGCUCGUAGGCGGUUUGUCGCGUCUGAUGUGAAAACCUAAGGCUCAACCUUGGGCUUGCAGUGGGUACGGGCAGACUAGAGUGCGGUAGGGGUGACUGGAAUGCCUGGUGUAGCGGUGGAAUGCGCAGAUAUCAGGAGGAACACCGAUGGCGAAGGCAGGUCACUGGGCCGCAACUGACGCUGAGGAGCGAAAGCAUGGGGAGCGAACAGG